GACGAACGCUGGCGGCGUGCCUAAUACAUGCAAGUCGAACGAACUCUGGUAUUGAUUGGUGCUUGCAUCAUGAUUUACAUUUGAGUGAGUGGCGAACUGGUGAGUAACACGUGGGAAACCUGCCCAGAAGCGGGGGAUAACACCUGGAAACAGAUGCUAAUACCGCAUAACAACUUGGACCGCAUGGUCCGAGUUUGAAAGAUGGCUUCGGCUAUCACUUUUGGAUGGUCCCGCGGCGUAUUAGCUAGAUGGUGAGGUAACGGCUCACCAUGGCAAUGAUACGUAGCCGACCUGAGAGGGUAAUCGGCCACAUUGGGACUGAGACACGGCCCAAACUCCUACGGGAGGCAGCAGUAGGGAAUCUUCCACAAUGGACGAAAGUCUGAUGGAGCAACGCCGCGUGAGUGAAGAAGGGUUUCGGCUCGUAAAACUCUGUUGUUAAAGAAGAACAUAUCUGAGAGUAACUGUUCAGGUAUUGACGGUAUUUAACCAGAAAGCCACGGCUAACUACGUGCCAGCAGCCGCGGUAAUACGUAGGUGGCAAGCGUUGUCCGGAUUUAUUGGGCGUAAAGCGAGCGCAGGCGGUUUUUUAAGUCUGAUGUGAAAGCCUUCGGCUCAACCGAAGAAGUGCAUCGGAAACUGGGAAACUUGAGUGCAGAAGAGGACAGUGGAACUCCAUGUGUAGCGGUGAAAUGCGUAGAUAUAUGGAAGAACACCAGUGGCGAAGGCGGCUGUCUGGUCUGUAACUGACGCUGAGGCUCGAAAGUAUGGGUAGCAAACAGGAUUAGAUACCCUGGUAGUCCAUACCGUAAACGAUGAAUGCUAAGUGUUGGAGGGUUUCCGCCCUUCAGUGCUGCAGCUAACGCAUUAAGCAUUCCGCCUGGGGAGUACGGCCGCAAGGCUGAAACUCAAAGGAAUUGACGGGGGCCCGCACAAGCGGUGGAGCAUGUGGUUUAAUUCGAAGCUACGCGAAGAACCUUACCAGGUCUUGACAUACUAUGCAAAUCUAAGAGAUUAGACGUUCCCUUCGGGGACAUGGAUACAGGUGGUGCAUGGUUGUCGUCAGCUCGUGUCGUGAGAUGUUGGGUUAAGUCCCGCAACGAGCGCAACCCUUAUUAUCAGUUGCCAGCAUUAAGUUGGGCACUCUGGUAAGACUGCCGGUGACAAACCGGAGGAAGGUGGGGAUGACGUCAAAUCAUCAUGCCCCUUAUGACCUGGGCUACACACGUGCUACAAUGGAUGGUACAACGAGUUGCGAACUCGCGAGAGUAAGCUAAUCUCUUAAAGCCAUUCUCAGUUCGGAUUGUAGGCUGCAACUCGCCUACAUGAAGUCGGAAUCGCUAGUAAUCGCGGAUCAGCAUGCCGCGGUGAAUACGUUCCCGGGCCUUGUACACACCGCCCGUCACACCAUGAGAGUUUGUAACACCCAAAGUCGGUGGGGUAACCUUUUAGGAACCAGCCGCCUAAGGUGGGACAGAUGAUUAGGGUGAAG
rnacentral:rRNA from 1 species